GAUGAACGCUGGCGGCGUGCCUAAUACAUGCAAGUCGAGCGAACAGACGAGGAGCUUGCUCCUCUGACGUUAGCGGCGGACGGGUGAGUAACACGUGGAUAACCUACCUAUAAGACUGGGAUAACUUCGGGAAACCGGAGCUAAUACCGGAUAAUAUAUUGAACCGCAUGGUUCAAUAGUGAAAGAUGGUUUUGCUGUCACUUAUAGAUGGAUCCGCGCCGCAUUAGCUAGUUGGUAAGGUAACGGCUUACCAAGGCGACGAUGCGUAGCCGACCUGAGAGGGUGAUCGGCCACACUGGAACUGAGACACGGUCCAGACUCCUACGGGAGGCAGCAGUAGGGAAUCUUCCGCAAUGGGCGAAAGCCUGACGGAGCAGCGCCGCGUGAGUGAUGAAGGUCUUCGGAUCGUAAAACUCUGUUAUUAGGGAAGAACAAAUGUGUAAGUAACUAUGCACGUCUUGACGGUACCUAAUCAGAAAGCCACGGCUAACUACGUG
rnacentral:rRNA from 1 species